rnacentral:rRNA from 1 species
CGCUAAUAGAUGAGCCUAAGUCAGAUUAGCUAGUUGGUGGGGUAAAGGCCUACCAAGGCGACGAUCUGUAGCGGGUCUGAGAGGAUGAUCCGCCACACUGGGACUGAGACACGGCCCAGACUCCUACGGGGGGCAGCAGUGAGGAAUAUUGGACAAUGGGCGGAAGCCUGAUCCAGCCAUGCCGCGUGCAGGAAGACUGCCCUAUGGGUUGUAAACUGCUUUUAUACGGGAAGAAUAAGGUCUACGUGUAGACUGAUGACGGUACCGUAAGAAUAAGGACCGGCUAACUCCGUGCCAGCAGCCGCGGUAAUACGGAGGGUCCGAGCGUUAUCCGGAAUUAUUGGGUUUAAAGGGUCCGUAGGCGGGCUGUUAAGUCAGGGGUGAAAGUUUGCAGCUCAACUGUAAAAUUGCCUUUGAUACUGGCGGUCUUGAGUUAUAUUGAAGUGGCUAGAAUAUGUAGUGUAGCGGUGAAAUGCAUAGAUAUUCAUGAAUC